rnacentral:rRNA from 1 species
UACGUAGGGGCCGAGCGUUGUCCGGAGUUACUGGGCGUAAAGCGCGCGCAGGCGGCGGUCCGCGCCCGGCGUGAAAGCCCCCCGGCUCAACCGGGGACCGGCAUUCCAAACUGCUCAGCUCGAGUAUGGGAGAGGAUGAGGGAAUUCCUGGUGUAGCGGUGAAAUGCGUAGAUAUCAGGAGGAACACCGGUGGCGAAGGCGGGUCUCUGGGCCGUAACUGACGCUGAGGAGCGAAAGCAUGGGGAGCGAACAGG